rnacentral:rRNA from 1 species
AACGAACGCUGGCGGCAUGCCUAACACAUGCAAGUCGAACGAGAUCUUCGGGUCUAGUGGCGCACGGGUGCGUAACGCGUGGGAAUCUGCCCUUUGGUUCGGAAUAACAGUUGGAAACGACUGCUAAUACCGGAUGAUGACGAAAGUCCAAAGAUUUAUCGCCAGAGGAUGAGCCCGCGUAGGGUUAGCUAGUUGGUGUGGUAAAGGCGCACCAAGGCGACGAUCCUUAGCUGGUCUGAGAGGAUGAUCAGCCACACUGGGACUGAGACACGGCCCAGACUCCUAUGGGAGGAAGCAGUGGGGAAUAUUGGACAAUGGGCGAAAGCCUGAUCCAGCAAUGCCGCGUGAGUGAUGAAGGCCUUAGGGUUGUGAAGCUCUUUUACCCGGGAUGAUAAUGACAGUACCGGGAGAAUAAGCUCCGGCUAACUCCGUGCCAGCCGCCGCGGUAA